rnacentral:rRNA from 1 species
CCUACGGGUGGCUGCAGUAAGGAAUAUUGGUCAAUGGAGGAAACUCUGAACCAGCCAUCCCGCGUGAAGGAUGAAGGGGCUCUGCCUUGUAAACUUCUUUUGUCUGGGGCGAAAAAGCUCGAUUUAUCGAGAACUGACGGUACCAGAAGAAUACGCACCGGCUAACUCCGUGCCAGCAGCCGCGGUAAUACGGAGGGUGCAAGCGUCAUCCGGACUAACUGGUGCUAAAGGGUGCGAAGAAGGCUGUGGAGAAAGGCUGUGGCUUAACCAUGGAAUUGCCAUUGAUACUGCAGAGCUUGAAUGAGGUUGAGGUUGGCGGAAUGUGACAUGUAGCGGUGAAAUGCUUAGAUAUGUCAUGGAACACCGAUUGCGAAGGCAGCUGACUGGACCUAUAUUGACGCUGAGGCACGAAAGCGUGGGGAGCGAACAGGAUUAGAUACCCGGGUAGUC